AUGUUCCCCGCGCCCGCCCACACCCACCUGACCUGGAUGCGGUCGGCGCGACCCCACACACUCUCCCACCUUCCCACCUCGGGCCUUGCCCUAAUGGCUAUAUAUAUAACCUCCGUCGAUCUCCCAUUCGACACCAGACAAAUCAGGAAACAAAGUGGCAGACAUAGACAAGCAGAGCAGCUCGCGGAUCGAUCCAUGGAGUUCGACAAGCGCACGGGGACGCCUUCUCCCCUUCUCCCCCGGAGCGCCUCCACCGUCACCUACUGCUGCGGGCGGUGCGGGUACGACCUGAAGCUGAGCUCGUCGGCGCGGGACACGGCGGGCAUCGUGGGGGCCGGCGCGGGCGGGGCGAGGCGGCGGGGCUGGCGGAGCGCGGCGGUGGUGGUGUUCGACGCCAUCGACGACGCGCGCUUCGGCCACCUCGACGAGUUCCGCUGCCUCGACCUGCGCGCGCGCCGCCUCUUCGCGCGCCGCACGCGCCUGCUCUGCCGCAAGUGCGGCGCCCACGUCGGCUUCGGCUACGACGACAACACCACCGCCACCAGGCCGCCGCGGUACCACAUCAAGAUCCGCGCCCUCCACCCCGCCUCCUCCGACGACGCCUUCUCCGGCGCCGCCACGCCGCCGCCGCCGUCCCACGCGCCGGCGGAUCCGCGAUCUUGA
rnacentral:rRNA from 1 species